GGAAGGGUGGCUGAGUGGUUUAAAGCACCGGUCUUGAAAACCGGCGUGCGGAAACGCACCGUGGGUUCGAAUCCCACCCCUUCCGCCA
rnacentral:tRNA from 1 species